rnacentral:rRNA from 1 species
UAGGGAAUCUUCGGCAAUGGGGGCAACCCUGACCGAGCAACGCCGCGUGAGUGAAGAAGGUUUUCGGAUCGUAAAGCUCUGUUGUAAAGUCAAGAACGGGUGUGAGAGUGGAAAGUUCACACUGUGACGGUAGCUUACCAGAAAGGGACGGCUAACUACGUGCCAGCAGCCGCGGUAAUACGUAGGUCCCGAGCGUUGUCCGGAUUUAUUGGGCGUAAAGCGAGCG